AUCAGUUUUUGGGCUUUGCGUUUUGCUUCUGAAACCAAGCGCGAGAUGAUUAGGGUUCAUGUUCAUCUUCCUUCUCUGAAGCUAACAAUAGAAAUUCUAGGUACCAACAAUGGAGUUUCGGGAUGUUUAAUCAAUGUUAGACAUCGCUAUUUGAAUCUUCAAUCCCGACGUUAGGGUUCAUGUUCUUCUUCUAUUUCUGAAACCAAAAGUGUUGUUCUUCGUUCUCUGAUACCAACUACGGAGUUUCGAGCUGUUCAAUUGACGUGAACCAUCUCUGUGUAAAUCUUCAAUUCUGAUGUUUUGCCUUCCGUUCUAAUCAAUCGAGACGGUAUUUCAUCGCCUUUAUCAUACUUCUUAACUUCAUCAACCCAAGUCGACAACGAUCUGACACUGAAUGCGGCUUAUCCCUUUGCAAGGCGGUGUCUCUACUCCUAUAAAAGAAUUCUGGGAAGCCAGGAACUUCAAACACGGUGGUGAGCUUACGAUGGUGAAUAUAUAUAUAUAUGCUCUUACUGGAUUCAAAGGUGAUUAUGUUCUUAAACAUCAUGUUCAUAUCAACAUAUAAAAGUAUUCUAGCGUGUAUUCUCAACAUUGUCAAGCUGUUUUACUCAGAUCCUUAUUAAGGUAAGACUCAUGUUCAUAGUUUUCUUAAAAUCAUGUUCAUAGUAAUCCUAAACUUCAUACCUUUUUUUUACUUGAAUAAGUGUUAUUAAAUUCAUGUUCAUAUGACUAUUAAACUAAUGUUCAUAGUGUUCUUAAACUCAUAUCUUAAUAAUUUUGUAAUUUGGUUGAGGUCAUGUUACGCUGGAGCAGGAAUCUGUUCUUUUCUAAUAUUAAUCCCUUCGAAGAGAAAGGUCUUGCUGAUGAGUGGGAAAAAGUUGGGAUGUAUCUCUCAGGGUUCAAUAAGCUCGAUGAUAAUUGAUUUUCUAUGGAAAUUUUAUUUGAGAUUAGGACAAAGAUAUAGUGAAGCUCGAGAUUGAGAUGAUUUGUUCUUUUAAUUUAUUUCUUGAAUAUACGGCUAUAUUCUUCCUUGAAGUAAUUAUGUUGUUUGUAUGUUUAUUUCAGAAAUGUCAAAAAGGUUUAUGAAGAUCUUUACAAAGAGAUGACUCAGCUUCUGACUCGAGAUCAUUUUAGGGAAUAGAGUAAUUGUCAACUAGAGUGAUACAAAAUCAGCCAGAAAUAUAAUGUAAACUCAGUUGAAGAAACUGAUAGAGGAAUAUGCUUUGUUUGAUGAGAAGCUUGCCUUCCCCAGUUUCCAGCCUCCUUGCCCGUGAACUUUGAUCAAUCAAAGGUAAACGUCCUGUAUCUUUCUUGAACAGAAAGGUCAAGUGAUCAAUCAAGAACAUCUCUCUGAUCACCAAUGAGAGCCAGGAUUUGUAGAAGAGCGUUAGCUCGGAUCGUGAUCGUGACUAUGAGCGAGACAGGGAACGGGAUCGCGAUCGUCGGGAUUAUGAGCAUGAUCAUUACUAUGGCAAGGAUUGGGACCGUGAUAGGAGUAGAGAUCGUGACAGGGAUCAUGAUAGGGAAAGGGCUCAUGAGAGAGAGAGAGAGAAAGACUGAAGUAGCCGUGACUAUUAUCAUGAAGGGAAACAAAGUAAAAGUGACGGGGAAAGGAAUAAUGAUCGUGAUGCGUCGCGUCUAGAUAAUCAAAGUGAUCGGUAUAGACAGAGAAGAGAAGGGAGGAAGUCUCCAGAUUAUCAGGACAUACAUGGACACUAGAAGUAGCCGAGCAGGGCCUGAUGGUGAUGUGAUCAAAUGAUUCAAAUCAGAGCGUUAACCUUCCAGUUCUGUGGCGCAAGAAGAGAAUGGGAACGUCUCAGGUCAGACUGCAAAAUGGGUCUCUGCCAGGGAGGCGGCUGAGCUGUCUGGAGGAUCGGACAGGGGUACAAGACAGAAAGCGUCUGAGAAAACUGUAAAGACGGAAGAUGGUGUUUUGGGCGAGUUUCAUGGUUCCACAAAAGCUUUUCGCCGGCCCAUGCUUGAAAGAUCUCCUUCCUCGACAAGUCUUGACCGGAGAUUCAAUAAUAAUCAGAGUAGUGCAAGAUGGAGCAGUGAGGUUGAAGAAACAUGCCUUAGGAACAACGCGAAAGAUUUUUCAGCACCUGAGGAUGAAAGGCUUCGGGUGGAUGACAUAUCACAGGGAAAUAUAUCCUUUAACAACAAAGCCUACCUGAGAAAGUGCCAUUGAAGAUAGGAAGGAGUUUGGUAGAUCUACAAGCCUAUACUUCUGAGUUGUUGAUGCUGUUGGGAGCUGUAAUAAAAUUACGUUCUUCGGCGGGAUGACAUUGUUUCUGCAUAUUUUAUAUUUUGAGUUGUGAAGUUCAGGUACUCUCCUUCACGAGUAUUUGCUGUGUUUUUGUGCUUUAUACGUUGGGUUUUAAAUUUCAGAAAUUUGGGAAAAGAGAACAAAACAACUACUACUUUGUCCCCUUAGAAUUAGAACAAAAAUCUUUGUCCCUAUAGUAUAAACAAUAAUGCUAAUCCCGUUUUGUCCUUUC